GCUGUGAUGGCCGAGUGGUUAAGGCUUUGGAUUUGAAAUCCAAUGGGGUUUCUCCGCGCAGGUUCGAACCCUGCUCUCAGCG
rnacentral:tRNA from 1 species